rnacentral:tRNA from 1 species
GGGGCAUUAUAUCUCGUGGGUAUAGAGCACCCCUGAGAUAGGGGAGAGGCCUGGGUCUCAUCCCCGAUGGGCCCCA